GAUGAACGCUGGCGGCGUGCCUAAUACAUGCAAGUCGAGCGAAUGGAUUAAGAGCUUGCUCCUAUGAAGUUAGCGGCGGACGGGUGAGUAACACGUGGGUAACCUGCCCAUAAGACUGGGAUAACUCCGGGAAACCGGGGCUAAUACCGGAUAACAUUUUGAACCGCAUGGUUCGAAAUUGAAAGGCGGCUUCGGCUGUCACUUAUGGAUGGACCCGCGUCGCAUUAGCUAGUUGGUGAGGUAACGGCUCACCAAGGCAACGAUGCGUAGCCGACCUGAGAGGGUGAUCGGCCACACUGGGACUGAGACGCGGCCCAGACGCCUACGGGAGGCAGCAGUAGGGAAUCUUCCGCAAUGGACGAAAGUCUGACGGAGCAACGCCGCGUGAGUGAUGAAGGCUUUCGGGUCGUAAAACUCUGUUGUUAGGGAAGAACAAGUGCUAGUUGAAUAAGCUGGCACCUUGACGGUACCUAACCAGAAAGCCACGGCUAACUACGUGCCAGCCGCCGCGGUAA
rnacentral:rRNA from 1 species